GAAUUGGUCCAGCAUUAGCCUAGAUCUAGGGAUCCGUAUUAGGGUUCCGUUAUAGCAGGUAUAUAUUAUAUCAGAGGGAAAAGCAGAACCAAGGCAGAACGAGUAUCUCAAAGUCAUUUAGAAUAAUCUAAUUAGGGUAAGGUGAAU